rnacentral:rRNA from 1 species
GACGAACGCUGGCGGCGUGCCUAAUACAUGCAAGUCGAGCGCAGGAAACUGACGGAACUCUUCGGAGGGAAGGCAGUGGAAUGAGCGGCGGACGGGUGAGUAACACGUAAGGAACCUGCCUCAAGGAUUGGGAUAACUCCGAGAAAUCGGAGCUAAUACCGGAUAGUUCAUCGGACCGCAUGGUCCGUUGAUGAAAGGCGCUUCGGCGUCACCUUGAGAUGGCCUUGCGGUGCAUUAGCUAGUUGGUGGGGUAACGGCCCACCAAGGCGACGAUGCAUAGCCGACCUGAGAGGGUGAUCGGCCACACUGGGGCUGAGACACGGCCCAGACUCCUACGGGAGGCAGCAGUAGGGAAUCUUCCACAAUGGACGAAAGUCUGAUGGAGCAACGCCGCGUGAGUGAUGAAGGUUUUCGGAUCGUAAAACUCUGUUGUAAGGGAAGAACACGUACGAGAGGAAAUGCUCGUACCUUGACGGUACCUUACGAGAAAGCCACGGCUAACUACGUGCCAGCCGCCGCCGUAACAC